rnacentral:rRNA from 1 species
GCGGCAGACGGGUGAGUAACGCGUGGGAACGUACCUUUUGCUACGGAAUAACUCAGGGAAACUUGUGCUAAUACCGUAUGUGCCCUUCGGGGGAAAGAUUUAUCGGCAAAGGAUCGGCCCGCGUUGGAUUAGCUAGUUGGUGAGGUAAAGGCUCACCAAGGCGACGAUCCAUAGCUGGUCUGAGAGGAUGAUCAGCCACACUGGGACUGAGACACGGCCCAGACUCCUACGGGAGGCAGCAGUGGGGAAUAUUGCGCAAUGGGGGAAACCCUGACGCAGCAACGCCGCGUGAAGGAUGAAGGUCCUAGGGUUGUAAAGCUCUUUCACCGGUGAAGAUAAUGACGGUAACCGGAGAAGAAGCCCCGGCUAACUUCGUGCCAGCAGCCGCGGUAAUACGAAGGGGGCUAGCGUUGUUCGGAUUUACUGGGCGUAAAGCGCACGUAGGCGGACUUUUAAGUCAGGGGUGAAAUCCCGGGGCUCAACCCCGGAACUGCCUUUGAUACUGGAAGUCUUGAGUAUGGUAGAGGUGAGUGGAAUUCCGAGUGUAGAGGUGAAAUUCGUAGAUAUUCGGAGGAACACCAGUGGCGAAGGCGGCUCACUGGUCCAUUACUGACGCUGAGGUGCGAAAGC